rnacentral:lncRNA from 1 species
GGGGGACAGAGAGGGAGAGAGGGACAGGCACAGGCUAAGGCUGGGGAUUUUUGUUUAUUUGUUUGCUUCUUGUAUCUCUAUUAGAGGAUUCUUCCUUAAAGACUUGGGGUAAAUUCAGUUAUUCUGGGACGCCCUUUUCCAUGGAUUAACACUGACUUGAGGGCGAGACACAUUUUGGAAGGCUGCUAACUUCUAAGACCCUAGUGCAUGUUGGGCAUUUUUGCAGAGCAGGGUUCAGUUCCAGCAGUUGUGUUGCCAUGGAAACAGAUGCUCCACCCCUCAACCACUGGUCACAUGGUGAGGGAACUUUAACACAUGAAGGCAACAUUUAUGAAUGAAAAAUGAGGCAGCAGGUGAAAAAAAAAAACUGGAAGGUAAAGUCAGGAAACAAAGUUCAACUUCCGUUACCUUGUCUUCCAUCUCACUCCCAGCUCCAGGACGAUUCAGAGGACCUGGAGAACUUGGCGAAUCACUGGACUGGAACAAAAGAGGACGCAAUCCAGUCAAACACCAGAAAAGCAAGUUCUGGGCAAAUACUCAGACACCAUCUGAGCCUGGCGAGGGCUGCCCCCUCCUUCAUACAAGGGCCUCAGGAAGUGGCACUUGCCCAGGAAGAUGCCCUCCAGCCCAGAGCGAGUCAUAAGAAAAGCUUUUCCCACCUGGUCCUCCCUUCUGCAGACCAGUGCCAUCAGAUGCCCCCAUCUGCUGCCCAGCGUCCUGCCCUGCUUCUGGGCAAUCCUGCUUCCCUGCUGGAGACUUACUUUGUUCUCAGUGUCUGA